CUGGCUCAGGAUGAACGCGGCGGCGUGCUUAACACAUGCAAGUCGAACGAUGAAGCCCGGUGCUUGCACCGGGUGGAUUAGUGGCGAACGGGUGAGUAUCACGUGAGUAACCUGCCCUUGACUCUGGGAUAAGCCUGGGAAACUGGGUCUAAUACCGGAUACGACCAGUCACCGCAUGGUGUGCUGGUGGAAAGCUUUAGCGGUUUUGGAUGGACUCGCGGCCUAUCAGCUAGACGGUGAGGUAAUGGCUCACCGUGGCGAUGACGGGUAGCCGGCCUGAGAGGGUGACCGGCCACACUGGGACUGAGACACGGCCCAGACUCCUACGGGAGGCAGCAGUGGGGAAUAUUGCACAAUGGGCGAAAGCCUGAUGCAGCGACGCCGCGUGUGGGAUGACGGCCUUCGGGUUGUAAACCACUUUCAGCAGGGAAGAAGCUUUUUGUGACGGACCUCAAAGA
rnacentral:rRNA from 1 species